CGUCAUCAUUGCCUAGUGACACUCCUAGCAACAGGAAACAUCUGUUUCAGCGUCGACCAAUCAGGAGCCGGUGCAGUCUGUUAUUGCUCGCUGCACAGAAAGGGGAUAUUUUAAGAGCCGAGAGUGAGCCGAAUACUACAGGGAUUAUAUCAGAAGCAAGACUUCGACAUCUGGGGCGAAACGUCAAGCUCACGCGGAGCUGAAAGCGGCUACAUUCGGCACAUUAUGAGCUGUUUUGAGCCUCUGGUUUGAUGAAGAACGCGCGUGCGGGGACUGUUAAUGUGGCUUUAGAAAUAAGGAACCAUUAGGCAAUGUGUGUGAGCCAGAGGAAAGAGUCUCAGGUCAAUAGAGGAUUUGUCAGAGAGGUGUGUGAUUGUGUCUGGGUGAAGCAGUUCUCAGGGUCUUUCCUCUAAGAGUGCCCUAAACGGUCAACAACGUCGAAAGUCGCCUACUUUAAGCGAAAAUAUGCGGAAGAGGAGGAUGUUCAGGGAAGCCUACAUGGAUAUUUACAAAAACACCUGAUCCUGCGUGAGGAGCGCAGCUGCAUCCUGCGCCUGUCUCUGCAGAAGCUGCGUUUCCUAGAUGACCCCGAGGCUUACCUUCGCCGCUCUGUGCUCAUCAACAACCUGCUACGCAAGAUCCACCUGGACGAAGCCCAGAGGGAGAGAGAGAAACAGAGGGAUGACAAGGAAGGGGAGGAGGAGACGGAGAGGAGGCGGAAGAGACUGAAGGUGGUGCUCCAAGAGUUCCAGCAGUACAAGCUGCUGCCGUUCUCAUCCUCUCCAGCCGCGUGCAUCUGCGGCCUGGGCAGCUGCCACAC